UCUCCAGCUGUUUUUGGACAACAAUUCCCAUUAUCCCUGAUCUCUGGUCCUGCUAGCUAGGGGUGAUGGGGACUGUGGUCCAAAAACAGCUGGAGG